UAUUGGAGGGAACAAAAUUGCAUACAAUAUUGGUGUAAUUUUUUAUAAAGAGCAUAAAAAUUCCCAUACCAGGUGUUAUGUUUUCCACGGUAGGUGACCAAAAUAACCCGUCUUACUAGUUUGUUUGGCAUGAAAUCAGCCUCGAACCAUCUUUUAUCAUUAAUAGACAACACAUACUGUAUAUAUCUCAGCAACACCCAGAGAUGUUACAGUGGACUGUUGGACUCUUGUUUUUCUUACAAGCCUGUUAAUCGUUACUAUCAUUUCAUGUCUUGUCCAGGGACAUUAAGAAUGAUUCACAUGUUGAUACUGUAUAGAGUGAGUGAGAGUCAUAAUCUGAAAUCAUGCAGGCAUAUAUGUUAGUUUAGGCUAUUUUGUGUUAUUCUUUUUUGUUAGAUGGACGGGUGCUUUUGAUUUACUAAAUAGGCUGUGCCAGAGAUGUAACCGUCUGUGGUUUAUGCUCAAAUCAAGUCAGCUCAGAAUUCAAUUAAAAGGCUUUUCAAACAUGUCCACUGUUUCUUAAAGGUGUAUUUAGUAGUUUGGUGCUGAUUUAAAAGGUUUUACAUAUUAGGAGAUAAAGUGUUUUAAAUAUGUUGCAGGUCUCUCCCCUCAACGUAUUUCACCAUUUUGAAGUGACGUGACCGGUGAUGUUUCUCUAAAUGUCUCAGAGAUUCCUUACGUUUAUUGGCUGCCACCUCUGUAGAUAUGCUAGUAGCAAAGUGUUGUUCGGUGAUGUGAAGAGUACUAUUGAAGUCUCCAAAAUGGUCAAUUCUUAUUUAUUUUUAUGGAAAAUUGCAGUAUUUACUUUUAACGAUUUAUCUGUCCAACUCAUUAUUUGUUUUAAAAUUCAUGUACCUUUGUAAUCAAAAUAACUUCCCCUCCCUCUUGCACCAAUAUUUCUUCUCUGAUGACAUGUUUACUAGCGUGAGGGCGGGCCAACCUGUCACACAUGAGAUCGACCAAUAGCAAACCACAACCAUCCAAUCAAUUCCCAAUGGACAAAAUCAAGUCCAAUGUUUAACUCGAAGAUACGUCACAAUAUGGAAUAAAAGACUGUCGCAACUUCAA